rnacentral:lncRNA from 1 species
GUUGAAUAAUUUUUCCAUGCUUUCUAAAAAUCCUCAAAUUCAUAGCUGACAUGGCAUUUUUUAAGUGAACUGAAAUAUAAUACGGCAUCGCUGAAAUAUGACCCAGCGGCUCUAGUCUCCAUCAUCAGGCGUUUGCUGCUGUGUGAGAAGUGGCGAAGUCACGCCGGAGUUGCAGUGCAGCGGUAAAGGUGUGAAAUAAAGGUGCUGUUGC